UACGUAGGUGGCAAGCGAUACUCGGAAUCACUAGGCGUAAAGCGCAGGUAGGAGGUUUAGUAAGUCUGUUGUGAAAAUCCCCGGGCUUACCUGGGAACUGCAUUUGUGACUGCAUAGCUAGAGUACGGUAGAGGGGGAUGGAAUUCCGCGUGUAGCAGUGAAAUGCGUAGAUAUGCGGAGGAACACCGAUGGCGAAGGCAAUCCCCUGGACCUGUACUGACGCUCAUGCACGAAAGCGUGGGGAGCAAACGAGG
rnacentral:rRNA from 1 species